UACGGGGGGGGCAAGCGUUGUUCGGAAUUACUGGGCGUAAAGGGCUCGUAGGCGGCCAACUAAGUCCGACGUGAAAUCCCCAGGCUUAACCUGGGAACUGCGUCGGAUACUGGAUGGCUUGAAUUCGGGAGAGGGAUACAGAAUUCCAGGUGUAGCGGUGAAAUGCGUAGAUAUCUGGAGGAAUACCGGUGGCGAAGGCGGCAUCCUGGACCGACAUUGACGCUGAGGAGCGAAAGCUAGGGGAGCAAACAGGG
rnacentral:rRNA from 1 species